rnacentral:rRNA from 1 species
AGUGAACGUUGGCGGUAGGCCUAACACAUGCAAGUCGAACGGCAGCACAGUAAGAGCUUGCUCUUACGGGUGGCGAGUGGCGGACGGGUGAGGAAUACAUCGGUAUCUACUUUUUCGUGGGGGAUAACGUAGGGAAACUUACGCUAAUACCGCAUACGACCUACGGGUGAAAGCAGGGGAUCUUCGGACCUUGCGCGAUUGAAUGAGCCGAUGUCGGAUUAGCUAGUUGGCGGGGUAAAGGCCCACCAAGGCGACGAUCCGUAGCUGGUCUGAGAGGAUGAUCAGCCACACUGGAACUGAGACACGGUCCAGACUCCUACGGGAGGCAGCAGUGGGGAAUAUUGGACAAUGGGCGCAAGCCUGAUCCAGCCAUACCGCGUGGGUGAAGAAGGCCUUCGGGUUGUAAAGCCCUUUUGUUGGGAAAGAAAAGCAGCAGGUUAAUACCCCGCUGUUCUGACGGUACCCAAAGAAUAAGCACCGGCUAACUUCGUG